GACGAACGCUGGCGGCGUGCUUAACACAUGCAAGUCGAACGGAAAGGCCCUGCUUGCAGGGUACUCGAGUGGCGAACGGGUGAGUAACACGUGGGUGAUCUGCCCUGCACUUCGUGAGAAGCCUGCGAAACUGGGGCGAAUACCGGGGAUGAGACAUCUUGAGUGUGAGGGGUGGAAAGUUUUUUCGGGGUAGGAGGGGCGCGCGGCCUAUCAGCUUGUUGGUGGGGGUAUGGCCUACCAAGGGGGUGGCGGGUAGCCGGCCUGAGGGGGUGGACGGCCAACAUGGGACUGAGAUUCGGCCCCAGCCCCUACCGGGGGGCGCCGGGGGGAAUUUUGCCACAUUGGCGCGAGCCCGAUGCCGGCACCCCGCCUGGCGGGUGGCGGCCUUUCGGUUGUAAACCCCCUUCGCUCGGGACCAAGCUUUUUGUGACGGUACCUAGAAAAGAAGCACCGGCUAACUACGUG
rnacentral:rRNA from 1 species